GUGAGUAUCUCGUUCUCCCUCCUGGGGAUAAGCCCCCUGAAGACUGGGGCUUCCGUGUGAUGGUUUCCUCCACUGCAUCUGGAAUCAGCCCUUGAAAACAGCCAUUUCCUCAUUAACGCUCGUGAAGAGAGAGAGAGAAUGAGAGAUACAGAGCACUAGAAGGAGGAGGGUCCGAGGGAGAAGCAGACCCCCCGCCGAGCGGGGGAGCCCGAUGCGGGACUCGAUUCCGGGACUCCAGGACCAUGACCCGAGCCGAAGGCAGUCGCCCAACCAACUGAGGCCACCCAGGCGCCCAUGGACUCUGGUCUUAAUGUAAAGCAGACUAAAAUUUUGGGGAAAAAAACCCCAGAUCAGAUUUGUACGACGGUAUGAUUACAACUAUGCAAAGUGUUUUUCAUAGAAAAAAAGAGGGAAAAGAAAACAUGGAAAUUAUCAACAGUUGUUUUGGUUGAC